CCCAGACGAUUCUGUGUGCCUGGGUCCCUGAAUUACUGUCACUGUAUGGAGCACUGCCCCUCAGUGGACGUGGACACAAGGAGGAAAUACACCUUUGGUAAACUUUCCUGUAUUUAAGACAAUGCAAAAGUAACCGAAGGGAAACUUCUGAUGCCUUUAUGUUACCCCGGGGAGUUGCAUAAAGUACUUUCAAGGGCAUCACACCAAGACACACGGAUAUCUUGAGCCCCAGGUGUGAGGAGCAGUGUGUAAAAUGCUUUUCCAUAUACAGCUGUUGGUGCAAAAUGGGCAGGUGUGGAUCAGAAAGAUGCUGGUUUGAAGUUUGGUCCUGCCACCCACCUUAGCAGUUUUUUUUAGCUACCACAGCUUCUGUCCUAGCCAGCACGUAAGAGAUACUA